rnacentral:rRNA from 1 species
GUGGGGAAUAUUGCGCAAUGGGCGAAAGCCUGACGCAGCGACGCCGCGUGAGGGAUGAAGGUUUUCGGAUCGUAGACCUCUGUCAGAAGGGAAGAAACUACGUUGUGCUAAUCAGCAGCGUACUGACGGUACCUUCAAAGGAAGCACCGGCUAACUCCGUGCCAGCAGCCACGGUAAUACGGAGGGUGCAAGCGUUAAUCGGAAUUACUGGGCGUAAAGCGCACGUAGGCUGUAGUGUAAGUCAGGGGUGAAAUCCCACGGCUCAACCGUGGAACUGCCUUUGAUACUGCACAACUUGAAUCCGGGAGAGGGUGGCGGAAUUCCAGGUGUAGGAGUGAAAUCCGUAGAUAUCUGGAGGAACAUCAGUGGCGAAGGCGGCCACCUGGACCGGUAUUGACGCUGAGGUGCGAAAGCGUGGGGAGCAAACAGGAUUAGAAACCCCUGUAGUCC